AUGAAGCGCGGCCACGGUGCGUGCCCGGCGCUGCUGAACCCGUCGGCGGUGCAGCACAUGGUGUGGCUGUCGCCGCUCAAGUUCAUCGGCGAGCUGCGGGCGGACACGAGGGCGUUCCUGGAGGCGGCAAGAGGCGGCCCUUGCCGAGGCCAACAUGGAGCGGGAGAAGAAGAUCCUGGGCAGCAAGUACUCGGACUCCUCGCCGAUACAAGGUCAGAGGUGUGCAGCUCGCGCUCUGCUGCCACAGCAAGCCCAAACCGAUACGAGAAGCUGGCGUCGCCGCGGCUGAGCCGGAGACGGUCGCGGAGGUCCCGCGAGGGGAGUAGCAGUCUCGUCGGCCGGUUGCCGCAUCGAGCAGCAGCGAGGUGA
rnacentral:rRNA from 1 species